rnacentral:rRNA from 1 species
AUUGAACGCUGGCGGCAGGCCUAACACAUGCAAGUCGAACGAGUGGGGACGGGUGAGUAACACGUGGGAAACCUCCCAUCAGAGGGGAUAACACUUGGAAACAGGUGCUAAACCGAUACUGAUGGAUGGACCCGCGGUGCAUUAGCUAGUUUGUGAGGUAACGGCUCACCAAGGCCACGAUGCAUAGCCGACCUGGUAGGGUGAUCGGCCACACUGGGACUGAGACACGGCCCAGACUCCUACGGGAGGCAGCAGUAGGGAAUCUUCGGCAAUGGACGAAAGUCUGACCGAGCAACGCCGCGUGAGUGAAGAAGGUUUUCGGAUCGUAAAACUCUGUUGUUAGAGAAGCGGUAUCUAACCAGAAAGCCACGGCUAACUACGUGCCAGCAGCCGCGGUAAUUC